AUUGAACGCUGGCGGAAUGCUUUACACAUGCAAGUCGAACGGCAGCACGGGGGCAGCCCUGGUGGCGAGUGGCGAAUGGGUGAGUAAUACAUCGGAACGUGCCCGGUCGUGGGGGAAAACGUAGCGAAAGUUACGCUAAUACCGCAUACGAUCUGAGGAUGAAAGCGGGGGACCUUCGGGCCUCGCGCGAUCGGAGCGGCCGAUGUCAGAUUAGGUAGUUGGUGGGGUAAAGGCCUACCAAGCCGACGAUCUGUAGCUGGUCUGAGAGGACGACCAGCCACACUGGGACUGAGACACGGCCCAGACUCCUACGGGAGGCAGCAGUGGGGAAUUUUGGACAAUGGGGGCAAGCCUGAUCCAGCCAUUCCGCGUGCAGGACGAAGGCCUUCGGGUUGUAAACUGCUUUUGUACGGAACGAAAAGGCUCUGGCUAAUACCUGGGGCUCAUGACGGUACCGUAAGAAUAAGCACCGGCUAACUACGU
rnacentral:rRNA from 1 species